CGGGGUGUGGCUCAGCCUGGUAGAGCACUGCGUUCGGGACGCAGGGGUCGUGAGUUCAAAUCUCGCCACCCCGACCA
rnacentral:tRNA from 1 species